rnacentral:rRNA from 1 species
AUUGAACGCUGGCGGCAGGCCUAACACAUGCAAGUCGAACGGUAACAGGGAUCAGCUUGCUGUUUCGCUGACGAGUGGCGGACGGGUGUGUCAUGUCUGGGAAACUGCCUGAUGGAGGGGGAUAACUACUGGAAACGGUAGCUAAUACCGCAUAACGUCGCAAGACCAAAGAGGGGGACCUUCGGGCCUCUUGCCAUCGGCUGUGCCCAGAUGGGAUUAGCUAGUAGGUGGGGUAACGGCUCACCUAGGCGACGAUCCCUAGCUGGUCUGAGAGGAUGACCAGCCACACUGGAACUGAGACACGGUCCAGACUCCUACGGGAGGCAGCAGUGGGGAAUAUUGCACAAUGGGCGCAAGCCUGAUGCAGCCAUGCCGCGUGUAUGAAGAAGGCCUUCGGGUUGUAAAGUACUUUCAGCGGGGAGGAAGGGAGUAAAGUUAAUACCUGUGCUCAUUGACGUUACCCGCAGAAGAAGCAACGGCUAACUCCGUG